CAGUAGCCGCGGUAAUGCGAAGGGUGCAAGCGUUAAUCGGAAUUACUGGGCGUAAAGCGUGCGUAGGCGGUGAGUUAAGUCUGCUGUGAAAUCCCCGGGCCCAACCUGGGAAUGGCAGUGGAUACUGGCUCGCUAGAGUGUGUCAGAGGAUGGUGGAAUUCCCGGUGUAGCGGUGAAAUGCGUAGAGAUCGGGAGGAACAUCAGUGGCGAAGGCGGCCAUCUGGGACAACACUGACGCUGAGGCACGAAAGCGUGGGGAGCAAACAGGAUUAGAUACCCCAGUAGUCCCUGUCUCUUAUAC
rnacentral:rRNA from 1 species